ensembl:lncRNA
GGAACUCUGACCUGGGAGAGAAUGACAGAUAAAAGACUGUGUUAGCCCCCUGAGCUAAAACAGAGGAAACUGGACCAUAUGGACCUUACUUGCUGUUUGCCAGUCUGGAGUUGAUCCAGUCCAACUGCUUGGCAGAAGCCCCCAGGUCUUCCUUUCCUUUGGGCUGGGUCCCCUUAUAGGUUUUCCCACAUAGCACCACUGUGUCAAUCAUCAGGAUGGUCACUGACACGUUACUCUGGGGAACCUUGAACUGGAGCUCAUAGUACAACUCCGGGAACCUCCUGAGGCAACAAGAGGAGAGAACAACACAGAAUGUCCUGUUUUGUGUGGCUCAGUUGGAUGCUUGGCGUUAACGGUUUAAAACACACAGUUUUUAAAGAUCUU